GUGAGGUGGCGGCGUGCUAUACAUGCAAGUCGAGCGGACCGACGGGAGCUUGCUCCCUUAGGUCAGCGGCGGACGGGUGAGUAACACGUGGGUAACCUGCCUGUAAGACUGGGAUAACUCCGGGAAACCGGGGCUAAUACCGGAUGCUUGAUUGAACCGCAUGGUUCAAUCAUAAAAGGUGGCUUUCAGCUACCACUUGCAGAUGGACCCGCGGCGCAUUAGCUAGUUGGUGAGGUAACGGCUCACCAAGGCGACGAUGCGUAGCCGACCUGAGAGGGUGAUCGGCCACACUGGGACUGAGACACGGCCCAGACUCCUACGGGAGGCAGCAGUAGGGAAUCUUCCGCAAUGGACGAAAGUCUGACGGAGCAACGCCGCGUGAGUGAUGAAGGUUUUCGGAUCGUAAAACUCUGUUGUUAGGGAAGAACAAGUACCGUUCGAAUAGGGCGGUACCUUGACGGUACCUAACCAGAAAGCCACGGCUAACUACGUGCCAGCAGCCGCGGUAAUACGUAGGUGGCAAGCGUUGUCCGGAAUUAUUGGGCGUAAAGCGCGCGCAGGCGGUUUCUUAAGUCUGAUGUGAAAGCCCCCGGCUCAACCGGGGAGGGUCAUUGGAAACUGGGGAACUUGAGUGCAGAAGAGGAGAGUGGAAUUCCACGUGUAGCGGUGAAAUGCGUAGAGAUGUGGAGGAACACCAGUGGCGAAGGCGACUCUCUGGUCUGUAACUGACGCUGAGGCGCGAAAGCGUGGGGAGCGAACAGGAUUAGAUACCCUGGUAGUCCACGCCGUAAACGAUGAGUGCUAAGUGUGAGAGGGUUUCCGCCCCUUUAGUGCUGCAGCAAACGCAUUAAUGCACUCCGCCUGGGGGAGAAGGGUCGCAAGACUG
rnacentral:rRNA from 1 species